rnacentral:lncRNA from 1 species
AAAUUUAAGAUAUAAAAAUUCGGCAAUUCUCAUAAAUUUUAUGUUCACUUUUUCCUUGAUCUAAAUAGAGUAUUCUAGAACUGUUAACUAGGGGACACAUUUUUAUAUACAUAUUAUUUUUGUUUAGAAAUUGUAAGCUAGUGAGAAGGGAAAAUGACGUUGACUAUUGCACUUAUUUGUUGAUAGAAAUAAUAGCCUUUUAAUGUCUGGAUUCAGGUAUCUUCUCUCCUAAAUCACACAACUUUCAUAAAUUUCAAAACAAGGAUUUGGAUUGAAGAAAAAUAGGAAGCCAGUGCUUCCUACAUGUCCUCUGUAUUUGUGUUCAUGUGUAGUAUUUAUGCAAUGUUAUGACUUGGUUAUAAUCUAUAAUUCUUGGUUGUUAUUUCAAUUGCAACUAUAAUUUUUAGAUUAAUGGUUAUAUUUUUGGUAAGAAUACACAAAAAGUUUUAUGUUUAUGAUUGAAAGGAGCAUCAUUAAACAUUCAUUAUUACCACUCAAAUUAGUUGUCAUGUGCUACAUAAAAACGGUUACCUGCUAUCAUUUCACUAAUUUAGGUUCAGCAGUAAGUGAACAGCAAUAUAUAUCUCAUAUCAGUAGGGAAUUUUUGUUGGGGAACAGAGAGAGAAAUUAUUUUAAAACCCAUUUGACAUAUUUAUGUUGACAAAUUAUUUAAAGGAAUUACUGCUUUGUCAAUAAACAUGUUUGUAUAUUGGAAUAGGAUUGUGUUUGGAUUUACUUCUAGCUGUUUAAUUACUCUAUGAUUGUGAAAAACAAUGCUUAUUCAUAUAGUUAAGAGUGAAAAAAAAAAUACAGAGGUUGAGAUGUUUUCGUUUUUUGCAGACACCUAACCUUGCCAUGAAAAAACACUUUUCACUUUUGUAAGUGAGCACUGAAAUCUUGCUUUUUCAGCUAAGCUAGAUUGUAUGAUUUGUUACAGUUUUCCCCAUCUACAACAAAUUAUUAAGAAAAACAAAACAAAAAGUAAAAUGAGAGAUGGAU